GAUGAACGCUGGCGGCGUGCUUAACACAUGCAAGUCGAACGGAGUUGUUUCGCUGACGAGGCUUCGGCCAAAUCUUGAAGCAACUUAGUGGCGGACGGGUGAGUAACGCGUGGAUAACCUGCCGUAUACAGGGGGAUAACACUUAGAAAUAGGUGCUAAUACCGCAUAAGCGCACAGUUUCGCAUGAGACAGUGUGAAAAACUCCGGUGGUAUACGAUGGAUCCGCGUCUGAUUAGAUAGUUGGUGGGGUAACGGCCUACCAAGUCGACGAUCAGUAGCCGACCUGAGAGGGUGAUCGGCCACAUUGGGACUGAGACACGGCCCAAACUCCUACGGGAGGCAGCAGUGGGGAAUAUUGGGCAAUGGGGGGAACCCUGACCCAGCAACGCCGCGUGGAGGAAGAAGGUUUUCGGAUCGUAAACUCCUGUCCUCAGGGAAGAGCAGAAGACGGUACCUGAGGAGGAAGCCCCGGCUAACUACGUG
rnacentral:rRNA from 1 species